rnacentral:rRNA from 1 species
UGCGCAGGCGGUCUUGUAAGACAGAGGUGAAAUCCCCGGGCUCAACCUGGGAACUGCCUUUGUGACUGCAAGGCUGGAGUGCGGCAGAGGGGGAUGGAAUUCCGCGUGUAGCAGUGAAAUGCGUAGAUAUGCGGAGGAACACCGAUGGCGAAGGCAAUCCCCUGGGCCUGCACUGACGCUCAUGCACGAAAGCGUGGGGAGCAAACA